UACGUAGGUGGCAAGCGUUAUCCGGAAUUAUUGGGCGUAAAGAGCGCGCAGGUGGUUGAUUAAGUCUGAUGUGAAAGCCCACGGCUUAACCGUGGAGGGUCAUUGGAAACUGGUCGACUUGAGUGCAGAAGAGGGAAGUGGAAUUCCAUGUGUAGCGGUGAAAUGCAUAGAGAUAUGGAGGAACACCAGUGGCGAAGGCGGCUUCCUGGUCUGUAACUGACACUGAGGCGCGAAAGCGUGGGGAGCAAACAGGAUUA
rnacentral:rRNA from 1 species